CAGGAGGUUAGAUGUCCAUUCUCCAGAGGAGCCCUGGGAUCCCCACCCAAGAUGACGAGGAUAAUGAUAGAAUGGCUUCCCCCAGAGCCUGGGAUGUGCAGGUCUGGCCAGGAAACCUUCAAGUAGCAGCACUUUCCCUUUUAAGCAGGCCCCCAGACCCUGAAGUCCAAGGUGGUUCUCCUGCUCAUAACCAGGAAAAUGCCAGGGGAAGGAGAAACUUCAAAGUCUCACAAUGACCAAGAACCUCUCCUGCUUUUGCCCUCACUCCUCGAAAUUCCAGCUGAUUUCCAGUGAUGUGAUUUCAACACUCUCCCUGGUGUGAGCCUGGGGGAUGGCACUGCCUGCAGCACCCCUGGCACAGGCUUUGGGCUCUCCAUGGGCCUUGCCACCAUGUGCCUGGGCUGCUGGAAUCUGGGGUCAUCAAGUGAUUACAAUGGUUGUCCCUGUGCAAAGCUGACCCAGUGCUGGUCACUCAGCACCACAGACCCUCCAUUUUCACAUAUCCCAGAGGGCUUCAGCAUCCAGGGCAAACAAACUGUUGCAGAAGGUCAUGUUGGCAUCUAAUGCUUCACAUGAAGCUUGUAAGUCACUGAUGGUGGGAGAUUCAUCGAGGGGAAGGAAAAGGAAACCUCCCUUCUCACUUUGUCUUGCUUUCCUCACACCCAGUCCAAGCUCAUCUCUGGGGUGAAGGAGGUGGAAACUUCACCUCAAGGAGGAAAGGCUGGGAGAAGGUGAACACCCCUCCUAGUGAACACCCAAUUUUUGGUGAAAGCUGUGCUCUCUGCUUGCCAGCUCAUUUUCAAGGGCUAAAUUUAGUGUCACGUCUUGCAGUGACGCGCGCGGAGGAGGAUUUUGGGAUGACACAUGGAUCAGCCUCAUUCCUGCGUGGGAAACUUCCAGGCUCUGCCACUUUCACUGUCUGGAACAAACGAGCACCUUCCUGCUGAUGCCAUCAGACCCACGUGAGCCCCAGCCAGCCCUGGCAGUGUGGAGGAGAGCAAGGUUGUGUAACUCCCUGGCAAAGGUGUGUGUGUCUGUUUGCAAUCCAUUGUAUCCUGCUCACGGGUUUAGCUCCAGAUCAGCCAUGGGAUUUAGUCACCCACCUCUCUGUAAUUACUUUGGUAUGGAGAUGUUUAAUUACGUUUUGUCCUCAGCUAAGCUUGGUCCAUCCCUUUGUGCUUUUCACUG